GACGAACGCUGGCGGCGUGCUUAACACAUGCAAGUCGAACGGAAAGGCCCUGCUUUUGUGGGGUGCUCGAGUGGCGAACGGGUGAGUAACACGUGAGUAACCUGCCCUUGACUUUGGGAUAACUUUUGGAAACUGGGGCUAAUAUCGGAUAGGAGCUCCUGCUGCAUGGUGGGGGUUGGAAAGUUUCGGCGUUUGGGGAUGGACUCGCGGCUUAUCAGCUUGUUUGUGAGGUAGUGGCUUACCAAGGCUUUGACGGGUAGCCGGCCUGGGAGGGCGACCAGCCACAUUAGGACUGAGAUAGGGACCAGACGCCUACGGGAGGCAGCAGUGGGGAAUCUUGCACAAUGGGCGGAAGCCUGAUGCAGCAACGCCGCGUGCGGGAUGACGGCCUUCGAGUUGUAAACCGCUUUCGCCUGUGACGAAGCGUGAGUGACGGUAAUGGGUAAAGAAGCACCGGCUAACUACGUG
rnacentral:rRNA from 1 species